rnacentral:rRNA from 1 species
AGUUAAACGGCCGCGGUAUUUUGACCGUGCGAAGGUAGCGCAAUCACUUGUCUUUUAAAUGAAGACCUGUAUGAAUGGUGGAACGAGGGCUUAACUGUCUCCCCUUUCAAGUCAAUGAAAUUGAUCUGUCCGUGCAGAAGCGGACAUACAAAUACAAGACGAGAAGACCCUUUGGAGCUUAAGAUAUAAGAUCAACUAUGUUAAGAAUUACCUAAAUAAUUAAACUAAAUAGCAACUGAUCCCAAUCUUCGGUUGGGGCGACCACGGGAGAAAACGAAGCUCCCACGUGGAAUGGGGUUACCCCCCUAAAACUAAGAGAGACAUCUCUAAGCCACAGAAUAUCUGACCAAUAUAGAUCCGGCUAUCCCAGCCGACCAACGGACCAAGGUUAACCUAGGGGAUUAACAGCCGCAAUCCCCUUUCAGAAUCCAUAUCGACAAGGGGGUUUACGAACUCGAUGUUGGAUCAGGACAUCCUAAUGGUGCAGCCGCUAUUAAGGGUUCGUUUGUUCAACGAUUAAAGUCCUACGUGAUCUGAGU